GGGGAGAUGCCGGAGUGGUCGAACGGGACGGAUUCGAAAUCCGUUGUAUUCUCACGAGUACCCAGGGUUCGAAUCCCUGUUUCCCCG
rnacentral:tRNA from 1 species